AACGUUGUGUUAGGGAUUGUGUUG
rnacentral:siRNA from 1 species